rnacentral:rRNA from 1 species
GACGUAGGAGGCGAGCGUUGUCCGGAAUUACUGGGCGUAAAGAGCGCGUAGGCGGCGCGGUACGACCGGUGUGAAAGCCCCCGGCUCAACUGGGGAGGGUCACCGGUAACGGCCGUGCUCAGAGUGCAGGAGAGGGAAGUGGAACUCCGGGAGUAGCGGUGAAAUGCGUAGAGACCCGGAGGAACACCAGUGGCGAAGGCGGCUUCCUGGCCUGUGACUGACGCUGUGGCGCGAAAGCUAGGGGAGCGAACGGG